rnacentral:lncRNA from 1 species
AUGUAUUUGACAACAGAUGAAUAAAUGGCACAUUGUGAGGAAUUCAGUGUGUUUACAGAAAAAGUUGAAAUAUGUUUUCUGUCUUCUCAUUGCCUCUUACUAGGUUUUGGAGGCCGUGGUGUUCUCCCUGAAGUGGCCACAGGAUCUGGACUUGGGCCUCAGACUGGGGCAGGAGUACUCGGCCAAGGUGGAGCUGGACCAGGAGGAGCAGGAAAUGGCCGUGGACAGCAAUUGCCAGGGGUUUUCCGUGGUUACCCUCUCAUAUCACCAAAAUCAGGGAGUGGCAAAACAAAGAAUCCAGCCAAAGCUGCAGCUAAAUAUGGUGGAGCUGGAGCUGGAGGAGGAACGCUUGGUCAAGGAAGCGCUUUGGGGGGUGGGGCUGGAAGACUCCCUGGAGGAGGGGCAGGAAUCACACCUGGAUUAGGAGGCGGAGUUGGAACAGGAGGUGGACCUGGAGGAGCCAUACCUGGUUUAGGUUAUGGUCCUGGCUCAGCCAAAGCACGUAAAUAUGGUCAGACAGGCCUUGGAGGAGGAGGACCAGGUGGAGGACUGGGGCCUGGCUCAGGCAUUGGGACAGGUGUAGCAGGGGGCGGCUAUGGUUAUGGUCCAGGCAGUGCAGGCACAGGCUCAGCUGGAGGCCUUGGAGGCGGAGGACCAGGAGGAGGAGUUGGCCUCGGCACAGGUGUGGCACCUGGCUCUGGGGUCGGUUUUGGUCCAGGCGGUGCCGGCACUGGGUCAGGUGGCCUUGGUCCUGGUGGUGCUGGUACUGGGUCAGGUGGCCUUGGUCCUGGUGGUGCUGGUGGUGCUGGUACUGGCCCUGGAGGAGCUGGUUACGGGCCUGGUAGAACUGGGUAUGGACCAGGUGGCACUGGAGCUGGAUUGGGAGGAGCCGGAACAGGACCUGGAGGGUAUGACGCGAGUGCCAAAGCUCGUAAAUAUGGCAUGCUAAGUGGAGCACUUGGAGGUUUAGGCACUGGUGGAGUCAGGCCUGGAGGUACUGGCACUGGUUAUGGACCAGGUGGUGCUGGCUAUGGACCCGGCGGUGCUGGAACAGGCUAUGGACAAGGUGGUGUCGGACCUGGAGGUGCUGCUACAGGCUAUGGACAAGGUGGUGUCGGACCUGGUGGUGCUGGUGCAGGUAAUGGACAAGGAGGUGUCAGACCUGGUGGUGCUGGAACAGGCUAUGGACAAGGUGGUGUCGGACCUGGCGGUGCUGGUACCGGUUAUGGACCAGGUGGUGCUAGUACUGGUUAUGGACCAGGUGGUGCUGGAACAGGUUAUGGACAAGGUGGAGUUGGACCUGUUGGUGCUGGAUAUGGACCUGGUGGAGGAGUUGGACCUGGUGGUGCUGGCUAUGGACCUGGAGGUUAUGCUGGUGCCAAAGCUCGUAAAUAUGGUCUGCCUGGAGGAGUUGGAGGAGCCCUGGGUGCAGGAGGACUUGGUGGUGGAGUCGGGCCUGGUUCUGGGCUCGGAGUAGGAGGAGGGGUCCCGGGAAGAGGUGUUGGACUAACAACUGGUGGUGGACCUGGAGCAGGACUGGGGACCGGUGCGAUACCUGGGUCAGGUGUUGGAACGGGUGGUGGACCUGGUGGCUUUGGACUAGGUAGUGCUGGAGGAUAUCCGGGGGGAGCCAAGUCUCUCAAAUACGGGCUUCCUGGUGGUGGUGGAGCCCCAGGAUCUGGUCUGAACGUAAUAUUUGGUGGCCCAGCAGCAGGAGGAGGAUAUGGCCCUGGGACCGGAGGAGCACUCGGAACUGGAAGAGCAGGAUAUGGACCUGGUGGAUAUGGACCUGGCGGAUAUGGGCCUGUGCCUGGUGCUGGUUACGGACCAGGGGGAGGCUAUGGUGCAGUACCAGGAGCUGGAUAUGGAACAGGCUAUGGAGCUGGAUCAAAAGCUGCUAAAUAUGGUCAAGCUGGAACCACUGGUGGGGUACUUGGAGGUGGAGUGGGACGAGAGGGCCAACCUGGUGGUGUUGCACCUGGGGCAGGAGCCGGGACAGGCACUGGAGGAGCAGGGGCAGGAUCAGGGACCGGCACUGGAGGUGCAGGUGCAGGGACCAGCACUGGAGGAGCAGGUGCAGGGACCGGGACAGGUACUGGAGGAGCAGGUGCAGGGACCGGCACUGGUGUUGGUACAGUGAAUGGAACCAGCACUGGCAGGGGUGCAGUGACGACAGCUGGACCCACUGGGGGAGGACUUGGCAGCGCAGGAGGCACACCAGCUCCAGCAUCAGAAGGAGGUGCAGGUGUAGCCGGCAGACCAGUGGGAGCAGGUGCUGAUGGAGACGGCCUGAGUGGAACAGGGAUCCCCAUCAUUGCAGCAAAACCAGGAGUCAAUGGGACCGAAGUUCCAGGUUCUAGUGAAGAUGUCUCAGGUGGUUCACUGCCUGGAGCUAAACCUCUCAAACCCCCAGGUGUCCCCAGAGGUGACACACCCGGUGAAGGAGAUGGAGAGGAAGGCCCCGAUGGCGAGAGAGACGGUACAACAGGCACUGGCGGAGAACCGGGAGGAGUAGGAGGGGGUCAAACCAUGGCAGGAGGAGCGAGUGGAGUUUCAGGUGGUGCAACAGGUGGGGGGAGAGGAGACAGUCCUGCAACUGGAACUGGAGUUGGAGCACAGAGUGCAACUGGUGGAGUAGGAGGAACACCAAAACCAUCCAUAGGUGGAGUCGGUGGGGUAGCAGGAGGAGUUGGAGGUGGUCCUGGGGGCGUUGGAGCCGGUACUGGUGGAGUUGGAGGUGGUCCUGGGGGCGUUGGAACUAGUCCUGGAGGAGUUGGAGGUGGUCCUGGGGGCGUUGGAACUGGUCAUGGAGGAGUUGGAGGUGGUCCUGGGGGUGCUGGUGGUCUUGGAGGAGUUGGAGGAGGUCCUGGAGGAGCAGGCUUGGCACCUGGGGCUGGUGGGCCUGGUGGAUUAGGAACAGGAGCACUUAAACCUGGAAAAAGCUAUGGUGCUGGUGGAGCUGGAGUUUUACCAGGUGGAGGUAUACGUUAUCCAACUGGAGCUGGAGUAGGACAAGGAAAACCAGGCAAAGUGUAUGGAACUCUGGGAGCACAAGGCCAGGGUGGAGUUGGACCUGGCAGUUAUGGAGUUGGUCCUGGUGGCUAUGGUACUGGCCCAGGAGGUUACGGGGCCGGCCCAGGUGGCUAUGGCGCUGGGCAUGGUGGAUAUGGAGCCGGACCUGGAGGCUAUGGAGGCAGAGGCGUUGGUGGUGGUCCUGGGGGUGCUGGAACACUUGGGACUGGAGGUGUAGGAGUGGGCCCCGGUGGAGUCGGUGGUGGAAUGGGGGGAUAUGGCGGUGGUGUGGGUCCAGGUGGUUCAAGAUAUGGCACAGGUCCAGGUCUGGGUACUGGCACCGGGAAAUCACCAAAAAGAGCUGGUGGUACUCGAGUUGGGCCUGGUGGCUAUGGGACUGGACCAGGUGGAAUUGGUUCUGCUCAAGGAGGAUUUGGACCUGGAGGUUUGGUGCCUGGCGGUUCUGGAAGUUAUGGACCUGGUGGCUCUGGACCAGGUGGAUAUGGGGAUGGCUCUGCCGGGACAGGACUGGGUGGUGUAGGAACCAGGCCAGGUGGUUAUGGAGCAGGUGGUGUUGGCACAGGACCAGGCAGCUAUGGACCAGGUGUUUACACUCCGGGAGGUCAAGGACUGGGGGCAAGAAAGCCGCCCAAAUCAGGCUAUGGAUCAUCCUCACUGGGUGGAGCUCAGGGGGCUUUACCUGGAGGAGCAGGUACAGGACCAGGCAGAUAUGGGCCUGGUGGUGCUGGUACAGGAACAGGAGGCUUCGGACCGGGUGGUGCUGGCACAGGAAGCUAUGGACCAGGUGGGGCUGGAACAGGAAGCUAUGGACCAGGUGGCGCUGGCACAGGAAGCUAUGGACCAGGUGGCGCUGGUACAGGAACAGGAGGCUAUGGACCAGGUGGUGCUGGCACGGGAACAGGAAGCUAUGGACCAGGUGGCGCUGGCACAGGAACAGGAAGCUAUGGACCAGGUGGCGCUGGUACAGGAACAGGAAGCUAUGGACCAGGUGGCGCUGGCACGGGAACAGGUGGUUUUGGACCUGGUGGUGCUGGCAGAGGAACAGGAGGCUUCGGACCGGGUGGUGCUGGUGCAGGCAGCUUUGGAACAGGGGGGCAAGGAUUAGGAAAAAGAAAACCAUCUAAAUCUGGUUACGGAGGAGCAGGGUAUGGAUCAGCAGGAGGAUUAGGAGGAGGAGCUGGUCCUGGUGGAGUUGGAGCUGGACCUGGAGGCUAUGGCCCCGGAGGAUACGGCCCAGCUGGAACUGGAUCAGGCCCUUUUGGUUUUGGGCCUGGUGGUGCUGGAACUGGUGGCUAUGGCCAAGGAGCUGGUACUGGGCCAGGGGGUUUUGGACCUGGUGGGGCUGGUGGAUAUGGGCCUGGUGGACAAGGACUUGGGACAAGGAAGCCUUCUAAAUCAGGUUAUGGCUCAUCGUUGGGUGGAACUGGUUAUGGACCAGGUGGUGGGGCAGGAGGGCUUCCUGGUGCUGGAACAGGAGGCAUCCCUGGAGGAAGCACAGGCAGUGUAGCAGAAAGAACAGGGGCAGGAGGUGCUGCAGGAACAGGCCAGGGAGCUGGAGGAUUGGGCGUCUUACCAGGCGGUGUUGGCCCUGGCUAUGGUGGGACAACAGGUGGAAGCUAUCCAGGAUAUGCGGGCGCCGGGCAAAAAUCCAAGGCACAGAAAGCAGCCAAAUAUGCUGCCCUGCAGGCUUUACUGGGAGCUGGAGGCUACAGAGGUGCUGGCUGUCAGGGCAAAUACUGUGGCCGAAGGAGGAAGUGA